AUUUCCUAUACAAAACCUAUGCAUAAAAAACGUCGCGAAAUGUUCGCGAAAAAAAAUUUCGUUUCCAUUUCGUAAGCGGUACGCAGCUCUCGCGAAAACGAUAACGAAAAAUGAAGUUAGCUGAGACACGGUUCGACAAACGAUAAGUUUCAUAAUAGUUCCGCGAGACAGCGCUGCUUUCUAUGCGCUGUCACCAAGGCAAACUUUUUCCUUGCGAAAUAAUGGUCAGCGGUAUUAUUUCGCACGGAGGCUCGCGAAAUUUUGACAGGUUGCAAUGAAAAAAUAUAAGAAAACACAAGAUUGGCAAUUUUUUGUAUUUUUUUCAUCGCAACCUGUCAAAAUUUCGUGGUUUAGAAAUUCAAUAUUUCGAAUUUGAAUGCACACCCAAACAAAGCAAAUCAGCUCAACUAAUCUUGUCUCAACAUCCUGGAUCUGGCAAUCAGCCAACCAACAUUAAAUCGAUACAACCGCAGCAGUACCAACUACUCUAAAUCCAGCAACAGCCCCUCAAAAAAGGACCACAUAGCAAUUACUGCUCAAACGAACAACAGGAGUUUACGAAUGAUGGACACAUCGGAAAACAUUUCAUCGGCACAUUCUGCCUUAAAACAUGUCUGCCACUAUUUUUGAAAAUAUCACUGCCUACACAGUGCUCGUGAUUCCAUUCCAGCAGCAGCAAGCAAUCACUAUUCGAGUGCUUAUCGCCAACAUUUCACAGCAAGCUCAGCAGCAGAACCACCUUCAACCACAACAUCAGAAAAUUAAGAUUUCUUCCAGACCAUGACCAUCAUCCUAAAGGUCGGUAGCAAUAACGUUCAACCGACGGUACAACCUGGUCAGCAACCGCAAUUAGUGCAAUAGAUCCAACCCAAAUGUAGAUUUACCAACUGCAAAAAAGAUAGCAACAGCACAUUCAAACACAGUAGCAGCAGCAUACUAUACUGUACCAUGCGGUGUGCAGGAGGACUUUUUUAUUCAGUUGGUGCGGCAAGAUCGAACACCAACAACAUAAUAUCAUGGUAAUCACCCAGCAAGAGAACGCAGUGAUAAUGGGCCAACAGAAAACACAACAUCAAGAUGCUCGGAAAGGACUUUCUCUUUCGAACAAACAUAAUGGCACGUCAUCUUCAAUCGGCUAACCGUUUGGAAUAAGCGCUCAUCAUCGGUUUCAUGGCAGGGAAGUGAGCAGGCAAAAGAAGGCAUCGUUUUUUCCGCAAGGUCGCUCUGGUCAAAAUUUCAGCGAAUUGCAAGGAAUAAACCACCCGAGGGACAGUACCCGUGCUGAUUCAGGACGAUUUCCCAUACUUUGUACCUUGCUAUUGAAUUUUAAUACCCGAUCGAAACGAUGGCAAGCGCUGCCGAUAACUGGGUCAAAAAGACGACGGAUCAAGAAAUUUCUGCACUCGGUUAGCGAACUGAGUACAUAUCAUCAAGGAUAAGGAUUCAGAGCCGGCGGCUGGCAGUCCAGAGAAAGAGAAUGCGGAAAAACCUAGUCCACCGGCAGUAGAACUAAAGCUGCACCUGAUGUUUGGAGUUCGGUAGCUACAGAAAUUCUGACUCUAGCAGCUCCUGAAGAAAAACAAGCUGCAAGAGAAAAUGGAGAAACACCUUCCUCCGCGGAAGAUGCCGAGGCAUUCAACCCGGCGGAUGCAAGUUUGCUAAUGAAAGAUGUUCACUAAGGUCUAGUAGAAUCAAAGCUGGAUCUGAAGGUGCAGCGGAAGGAUUCUUCUUCGCCGGUUGGUUGGUUAAAACUUUCGAAGUUUUGCACGUGAAGCCGGGAUUACUUCAGGGAGUCUAUGCGAUGGGUUUCAACGCCCUUCCAAGAUUCAGGAGAUGGCUCUGUUGGCCGGUCCGCCACGGAAUAUAAUCGCCCAGAGUCAGUCGGGAACAGGAAAAACCGCUGCCUUUGUGCUGGCAAUGCACAGUUGAGUCCAUCAGUUAAAAAAACUAUCUGCAGGUGAUUUGCCUUUCCCCCACGUAUGAGCUGGCAAUUCAGAAGGGGGAAGUAGCUGCCAAAAUGGCAAAGUUUUGUCCGGAAAUCAAACUUCCUUACGCCGUUCGCGGUGAGGAGACCGUCAAAGGGGCGAAGCUGACUAAUCAUAUCAUCAUCGGAACACCCGGCAAGCUAAUUGACUGGGGUAUAAAGUUCAGGACGUACGACCUAGUUUUUCCUUUUUGUACUGGACGAGGCGGGUGUUAUGGUCGGUGUUCUUCUUGGCCACGUACGAGCGCGAGGUGAUGGAGUUUGCCGAGUACAUCGUACUCAAUCCGAUCGUCAUACGGCAGGCGCGGGAGCAAGAAUCACUCGAUAACAUCAAACAGUACUACGUCAGUUCCGCAACCAGGACGAGAAAUUGUGUGAUUACCGUCGGACAAGCGAUCAUUUUCUGUCAUAUGAUGUAUAGGACAGUUGUAAACGUCCAAGUAAACUUAUUUUCAGAACUGUUAAUCGAUCGAAACAGGUACAAAAAACGGCCGGUUGGUUGACCUGCAGGAUGUCCCAGGAUGGUCACUCGGUAGCGGUACUGUCCGGUAAUCUAACGGUGGAGCAACGGUUGGAACGAACGUUUUGUCCAGGGGUAAGUUCCACCACUUGAUUCUGGCUACAGCACCAGGUUACGGAGAGAUUCUUUCGUCUUAGGUAUCGACGUCGAACAGGUGACCAUUGUCGUCAACUUCGACCUGCCGAUGGAUUAGCAGGGACGAGCCGAUUGCGAAACGCAUCUACAUCGAAUUAGACGCACCGGUAGAUUCGGUAAGUGUGACUCAUUCUUGUGAUCCUAUAGAUUGUAUUUCUUCCCACUUCUUUAACAGAACGGAAUCACCAUCAACCUAGUGGGCAGUGAUCGAAGCAUGAUGAUUUGCAGAUCAAUCAAAAAACACUUCCGGAAAAAGAUUCAGUUGCUAGACGCGGAGAACUCGGACGAAAUUGAAAAGAUCGCACCGUAAAGUGUUUUCGACCAGCUACUGGUCAUACUUGUUUUGAUUCUGAAUUUAUAAUUUUAUAUUUUUUUAAUUUACAAAUGUAACCAACAGGGUAUCGCAAGCUAAUAAAUUUACAAUUACAAUUACAAUCUCUA